ensembl:lncRNA
AACCUAAAGAAUAUAUUCUUCUCAUUUUGCCACUUGUUUAGAAAGACUCUGGACCCAAGGACUCUAAGCACAUUAUCAAUGCUUACAGGAACGUUCAUUGGAUGGGAAGACAACACGUGCUUUCCAGAGACAUAGGAAAAUGACUGACCUAUGCCCCUCAUCAGACAAGUAAGAGCAAACACAGGGCUAGAACCAGGGACGUUUAUCUAGCCAUCCUCCAGCCUGAAUCCCAGAAUGAUGUCGCUCCAGUCUCAAAGAUUUCUAGAUAGGAAAUGUCAUCACUUGCCUUUAGAGUUCUUCUAUUUUUAACUGCAAUUUCUAAUUAGUGGUCCACAGACUUCGCAGUGUGUGUUACAAAGGACAAUCAAGCCCCCUCGUUCCCUUAUGUCCCUCUUCAAAUAGAAGGUCUGUUAGAACAUUCUCCACACAAUGAGUUUGAUCAGUAUUUAUAGUUUGCCCCCUUCUUUUAUCUCAGUGUUUUCUGGGUUCCCCUAAAAAGCUGAACCCUGAGAUUUUUUUUCGGAAGUAAUUCCAGAAACAAAAGUGGGAAACUAGAAAGAGUGAAGCAGGUAAGAGGGGAAAGCCAAUCCCAGGACGCUUUGGCAAGACAGUUGCUGCAGUGAAGAACUGGCAUUGAGUCACCGUGGGAACCUCCUGAGGAGCUGUGUGAAAAUGUCUCAGGAUUGACAAGUCACACGAGAGAAGGGAGAAGGCGCCCGAGCAGCCGAGGUGUGUGUCAGUUCCCUUGCACUUCCGGCUUUGCCCAUGGUUUGGAAUGACUGAGAAGUUCCCCACAGACAGCCACAGAGGCGGCAAAGAAGCCAAUGGUGCAGCAUGGAAGAGACUGUUGGUGAAGCUGAGGGGAGGUGCUGUCAACCACACCUGACCGGAGUUGGUUGCUGCAGCGAAGGCUGGAAAAAAGCAGGUUCACCUGAAGACCUUCUCCGUUCCCCCACUGGAAGCUGGAAAGAACCAAGACAGUGUUGGCUUGUGGUGCUACGAAAGGAAAGAGGUGGACCUGAGAAGCAGGAAGGCAGAAGAGAUCUAUAAUUUGGAAAACACGCCCCUCCCUGCAGACAGAUAGAGCAGUGGUCACACACAAAGUGGAGGAAAUCUUGCACUCCAGAGAAGAAGAAAUGCUGACAGCAGCUUGAAGAAACACCCGAUUCCCUUGAGGAUCCACAUGAAUGGUUUUCACUAUUUGCCCUACAUUCUCAGAAGACUCUGAGGGACUUCCCUAGCGGUCCAGUGGCUAAGACUCUGAGCUUCCAAUGCAAGGGAUGCCAUUUCGAUCCCUGAUCAGGGAACUAAGAUCCCACAGGGCCGCAUGGCAAAAAAUAAAAGAUGAUCACAGAUCACUCGUUAAAAAUAGAAGACUCUGACCUUAAUUUUGCUCACAUCAUGCGCCUUCACUUGCUCUGAGGUCCUACUGCUGAUAAUCAGUGCUAUGUU